CCUACGGGUGGCAGCAGUGAGGAAUAUUGGUCAAUGGACGAGAGUCUGAACCAGCCAAGUAGCGUGAAGGAUGACUGCCCUAUGGGUUGUAAACUUCUUUUAUAAAGGAAUAAAACGAGGCACGUGUGCCGUUUUGCAUGUACUUUAUGAAUAAGGAUCGGCUAACUCCGUGCCAGCAGCCGCGGUAAUACGGAGGUUCCGAGCGUUAUCCGGAUUUAUUGGGUUUAAAGGGAGCGUAGGUGGGUUGUUAAGUCAGUUGUGAAAGUUUGCGGCUCAACCGUAAAAUUGCACUUGAUACUGGCAGUCUUGCGUUCACUUGAGGUAGGCGGCAUUCGUGUUGUAGCGGU
rnacentral:rRNA from 1 species